CUUUUCCUGAGAUGUACGAGGCUAUCC
rnacentral:rRNA from 1 species